UUUGAUCCUGGCUCAGAUUGAACGCUGGCGGCAGGCUUAACACAUGCAAGUCGAGCGGAGUGAUGGUGCUUGCACUAUCACUUAGCGGCGGACGGGUGAGUAAUGCUUAGGAAUCUGCCUAUUAGUGGGGGACAACAUUUCGAAAGGAAUGCUAAUACCGCAUACGUCCUACGGGAGAAAGCAGGGGAUCUUCGGACCUUGCGCUAAUAGAUGAGCCUAAGUCGGAUUAGCUAGUUGGUGGGGUAAAGGCCUACCAAGGCGACGAUCUGUAGCGGGUCUGAGAGGAUGAUCCGCCACACUGGGACUGAGACACGGCCCAGACUCCUACGGGAGGCAGCAGUGGGGAAUAUUGGACAAUGGGCGCAAGCCUGAUCCAGCCAUGCCGCGUGUGUGAAGAAGGCCUUAUGGUUGUAAAGCACUUUAAGCGAGGAGGAGGCUACUGAAGUUAAUACCUUCAGAUAGUGGACGUUACUCGCAGAAUAAGCACCGGCUAACUCUGUGCCAGCAGCCGCGGUAAUACAGAGGGUGCAAGCGUUAAUCGGAUUUACUGGGCGUAAAGCGCGCGUAGGCGGCUAAUUAAGUCAAAUGUGAAAUCCCCGAGCUUAACUUGGGAAUUGCAUUCGAUACUGGUUAGCUAGAGUGUGGGAGAGGAUGGUAGAAUUCCAGGUGUAGCGGUGAAAUGCGUAGAGAUCUGGAGGAAUACCGAUGGCGAAGGCAGCCAUCUGGCCUAACACUGACGCUGAGGUGCGAAAGCAUGGGGAGCAAACAGGAUUAGAUACCCUGGUAGUCCAUGCCGUAAACGAUGUCUACUAGCCGUUGGGGCCUUUGAGGCUUUAGUGGCGCAGCUAA
rnacentral:rRNA from 1 species